rnacentral:sRNA from 1 species
CACAAUCACAAUAUUAUAUUAUCUCACAAGUUGGUUACAGAAUAGAUUUUUAUUGCAUUUAUCUUUGAUUGUACUAUUUCUGAAUUUUCUUUUCUUCUAUUGUAUAAAAAUAUAUAUUAUGUUCAAGAAUAUGGCAUCAGGUCCUUCUGGCCCUCCUAUUCCACCUUCAGGAAAUUCUAAUAAGGGCAAGGGAAAGAAAUCUUACGUAGUGAAGUUGAUGACACGUUUCAAUAAUGAAAUUGGUUCAACCAGUCAACCAACUACACCUACCUCUACCUCUACUGGUAGAUCUGUUCCACCUCCAUUAGUUGUUCCUGCCUUCACUCCCACUCCACAUCAAGUUCCUACAUCUUCACCUACCUCUAUUGGUACAUCUCUUCCACCUCCAAUACAAGUGCCUGGCUUGACACCCACUCCAUACCAAGUGCCUCCUUAUCUUCAGGCUUCACUCUCUCCCAAUGUUGGUUCUAACCCAUCAACUCCCAGAAAUAUUGCAGCAUCACCUGGUAUAGAGGAUGCAGAUCCACAUUCUAGUUCAGCCGCCAAUAACAUGGAAGAAUGUUCCAAUAGUCGUCCAAUGAUUACACCCGUUGGAGGAGGGUUUUAUCCUACAAAAACUGCAUCCAAGGCAAUCACAGCAACCAUCAAGGAACAGUUUGAUGAGCCAUGGCUAACAUGGGGUGCAAUCCCUAAGUCAACCAGAGAUGUCUUCUUCGAACGUUUUAAGAGAAAGGUUUCAUGGAAGCCUGAAGAUGAGGAAAAGGUAAAAAAAAAUUAUCAC